GGUAAGGUGGCUCAGUGGGAGAGUGCUUGCCUUACAUGCAUGAGGCCCUGGGUUCGAUUCCUCAGCACCA
rnacentral:tRNA from 1 species